CCUACGGGAGGCAGCAGUGGGGAAUAUUGCACAAUGGGGGAAACCCUGAUGCAGCGACGCCGCGUGGGUGACGAAGUAUUUCGGUACGUAAAGCCCUAUCAGCAGGGAAGAAGAUGACAGUACCUGACUAAGAAGCCCCGGCUAACUACGUGCCAGCAGCCGCGGUAAUACGUAGGGGGCAAGCGUUAUCCGGAUUUACUGGGUGUAAAGGGAGCGUAGGUGGCAUGGCAAGCCAGAAGUGAAAACCCGGGGCUUAACCCCGCGGAUUGCUUUUGAAACUGUCAGGCUGGAGUGCAGGAGGGGCAGGCGGAAUUCCUGGUGUAGCGGUGAAAUGCGUAGAUAUCAGGAGGAACACCAGUGGCGAAGGCGGCCUGCUGGACUGUAACUGACACUGAGGCUCGAAAGCGUGGGGAGCAAACAGGAUUAGAUACCCUGGUAGUC
rnacentral:rRNA from 1 species